rnacentral:SRP_RNA from 1 species
GCUGGGCAUGGUGGUGCAUGCCUGUAGUCCCAGCUACUUGGGAGGCUGAGGUAGAGGAAUCGCUUGAACCCAGGAGGCGGAGGUUGCAGUGAGCCGAGGUUGCACCACUGCACUCCAGCCUGGGCAACAGAGCAAGACUCCAUCUCAA